AUACGGAGGAUUCAAGCGUUAUCCGGAUUUAUUGGGUUUAAAGGGUGCGUAGGCGGUUUGAUAAGUUAGAGGUGAAAUAUCGGGGCUUAACUCCGAAACUGCCUCUAAUACUGUUAGACUAGAGAAUAGUUGCGGUAGGCGGAAUGUAUGGUGUAGCGGUGAAAUGCUUAGAGAUCAUACAGAACACCGAUUGCGAAGGCAGCUUACCAAACUAUAUCUGACACUGAAGCACGAAAGCGUGGGGAUC
rnacentral:rRNA from 1 species